rnacentral:hammerhead_ribozyme from 1 species
GUACCGCUGACGAGUCUCAAACAGGACGAAAUGGUUGUUCAGUAU